rnacentral:tRNA from 1 species
GCGCCGGUGGUGUAAUGGCGUAGAGCAUUCCCGCCCGUCAGAGGGAGGUGCGGGUUCGAGUCCCGCCUGGCGCU